rnacentral:rRNA from 1 species
GAUGAACGCUGGCGGCGUGCUUAACACAUGCAAGUCGAACGGAAAGGCCCAAGCUUGCUUGGGUACUCGAGUGGCGAACGGGUGAGUAACACGUGGGUGAUCUGCCCUGCACUUCGGGAUAAGCCUGGGAAACUGGGUCUAAUACCGGAUAGGACGAUGGUUUGGAUGCCAUUGUGGAAAGUUUUUUCGGUGUGGGAUGAGCUCGCGGCCUAUCAGCUUGUUGGUGGGGUAAUGGCCUACCAAGGCGUCGACGGGUAGCCGGCCUGAGAGGGUGUACGGCCACAUUGGGACUGAGAUACGGCCCAGACUCCUACGGGAGGCAGCAGUGGGGAAUAUUGCACAAUGGGCGCAAGCCUGAUGCAGCGACGCCGCGUGGGGGAUGACGGCCUUCGGGUUGUAAACUCCUUUCGCUAGGGACGAAGCGUCUUUGUGACGGUACCUGGAGAAGAAGCACCGGCUAACUACGUG